UAUUCUUAAAAUAAUUCGAAGAUAUAUAUUUUUUACUCUAUUAACAAAAGUAAUUUGUUAUCCCACUUUUAAUUUUAGGUUAUCUACGCAAGUAACCUCUACAAUGUAUUAGUUUUAAUUUUACGAGGAAUUUAUGAACUAAAUACUUACUGUACAUCUGCUGUAUGAUCCAAAUCUGAAAAAUAAAACGGGGUAUUGCAAAAUCUUCUUCGGUUAACUCGUCCAUGAUUACGCACAGCUGAUCUCACGUAUGUGAAUAACCGAUCAGCUGAUUCUCUGACAGGUUUAAUCAAUGGCGGUCCCGGUUAUACAUACACAAGGUUGUACUAUGUAGAUGGCGCUACAUAAAAGGAUGCUUAUGAUCUAGAUUACCGAUUGAGCAAAAUUGAUUAAUAUUUUUUUACAAGAUGAUAAGACAGAUUAAUAAUAAAAAAUGAUAAUGGUAUUCAAAAGUAGGAUAAAUGAGUAAUUUUUUUAUGAAUGUUUUUAAUUAAUUAUGAUAUCUUAUGCAGUCAUUUUAAAUGAAUAGUAUAUUUUUUCAAUUUUUUAUGUUUCAAUGUUUAUUUUCUCAAAUCUAAUAAAAAACGUAAUAUAAGUAUAAGAUAAGUAUAA